rnacentral:tRNA from 1 species
UGGGGUGUAGUUCAAUUGGCAGAGCAUCGGAUUCUGGCUCCGAAAGUUCCAGGUUCAAAUCCUGGCACCCCAG